UUUAGGCCUCGUUUGGUCUCAGGGUUUCCCCCCGGGAUCCCUGCCUGUUCCCCGGGCUGGGAACCCACGAGCCAACCUAGCCCUGGGGUGAUCCACCCGGUCAUUUGGUGGCCCACGAGAUGGGGGUAGCCCGGCCCUUUCCACGCCUUUUCCCUGGGAGAGCCUUCCACGCCUCCAGUGGUCGGGGACGAAACCCUCGUUCUCUCGGUCUCGCGAAUGAGAGGCGGCGGCGGCAAGAUCCGAGAGCGACGCUCCGCCCUCCUCCGUCCAAGGCUCCGCCCGGCAACCGGAGGCGACGCACCACCGCCUACACCUCCACGAACUGCUCCUCCGGCGGGGGCAACGGCGACCGGGGUCAUCAUCCUCCCUCUUCCCGGAUCUCGUCUCUGCCCAGAGGUCAUCCUCCUCUUUGACCAAGGCCAUCCCCUCCUUCUCCUCUUCAACUAACCAUUUUUCUCCGCCAUGGUGAUUUCUUUUCUGCUACACGAACUGACGAGCGCCUAUACAGAUCGAAGGACCUUCUCUGUUGUCUGAAAUUUGUACCAAGUGAGCAGCUGUACUGAAGAACAUCGAACGUUUUGCAGUGCAUCUAACUAACCUGACCUCACAAGUGAGCACAGCCACCCUUACCUCCCUGUUAUGCUAAUCUAUAUGCACAAUGUUCUAGUAUAUUGUGAAGAGGGCAAAUUUGUUUGUGGGUGGGUUAAUUCAAGGAGGUAGGAUUGGUGCAAAAUGUCCUUUCAAGAGAUACUCUGUUUAUCUUGUCGUAUCUUAUAUUCCAAACAUUCUAGGGUCUUGAAAGUGCGUGUAAAAGAGCAACUAUUUGGUUUGUUAAUCUGUCAGGCAAAACCUUGGAGUAUUAUCUUAUCAUCACAGAUCAUAUAUUAAUCCAACCAUCCUGGUGCGUUAGUGCAUAUGUAUGUUGGCUGCAAACUGAAACAGCAUGUUCCAAUUUAUGGUUCACCACCUGAAUUGCUAAAGGAAUAUUAGCUUACCAUGUACAGUAAUAGAAUCAUUUCAUUGUGUUCUGUUUAGUUGAAAAAUGGAGUGGUAUACAGGAAGAAUGACAUGUGUCCUGUACUCACAGCUGCAUUUGAUCAAUCCUAGCUUAUUUGGUUGUGAAUCGAACAUAUAUUUUGCUUGGUUUGUCUAACUCAUGAGUGACCAUUGAUUUCUAGUAGGUGCUGAUUUGUAGGUCUGCUCUGAAAUUAGAAGUUGGCUUUAUCUGAAGACCUUGUGUAAAAUUGCUUGGUGCCUUUCGAAAGAUUUCACUCAGAGCAAGAAAGGUACUCCCUCCGUCCGGAAAUACUCGUCGGAGAAAUGCAUAAAAAUGGAUGUAUCUAAAACUAAAAUACGUCUAGAUACAUCCAUUUAUCCGACAAGUAUUUUCGGACGGAGGGAGUAUGUGACACAGACAUCCUUUUGACAUGGUCAUUGAGGAAGCUUAAAUUAUGCAAAACUACUGCUCUUGUGAUGUUAUUUUUCUGUGCCUAGUAAUGAAAGUGUUCUUAUUUUAGUAUAUGAGAAAAUUGUUGCUCUUAAUUAUGUAUGUAGAUGGCACAAUAGAGAUGGUAUUAUCUCUGUAUUCACUCCUGAGCUUUCUUUGCAGCAUAGAGAUGGCAUUAUUAGUGCUUUAUUUAUAAUUAUUAUUGUUGUAUUAAUUUUGUUUUCAUUGGGUAUAAUAGUGAUGCAUUCUAGGAGAAAUAAAAUUAGAUUAUCUUGCAAGAACAAGAAGAAGACGAUGAACUAUUUUUCCUUUUGGUUCCCGCUUUAUAUGCUUGCCUUUAUGAGGAAAAACAUCCAGUUCACACAUCAUCUUUAUCCGGGGCUGCAAAGGUUAAGGAAAUAUUAGAAGGUCAUGAGAGUUGGUCUAGGGUUGAGUUUCAGAUGGAACCUGAGAUUUUUAAGUCUAUCGUGGAUAUCUUAAAAGAGAGGAACUAUUGAAGGGCACGUCGCGUGUUGCUGUCGAGGAGCAGUUGGCAAUGUUCAUGUACAUGAUUUCGCACAAUCUGGUUCUUAGGACAUUCUGAAUCUGAGUACUCUAUAGAUCUUCAAAGAAGAUUGAAGAAAUUAUAUUCUUUUCGCAAGUAAUGUGGUCUUGGUUUUGUUAUGCACACUGCACAUACAAUAUGUUGGUUAAUACCAUUUCAUCUUAAUCUGUUUAUAUACUUAGAAAUAGUCUUUUGAAACUGUGAACUAGUGUUAACUUAAUUUUGUGUAGUUCAGUGAUCAUCAAGUUGCGGUACCUCAUGUCGAUGCGAAGUGGAGAGAAGACCCGAGUAGGGCUAGUGGUCGUUGCCUUGCAAUUAAUCUUAUUCAAAAGUCCCUCUGCCUCUGACAUGGCAAUUGAUAAUUCAAGUUUUUUUAUUGUUGUGAACAAAGUUGAACGAUGAUGGCACGUGAAAACGGUUUAGGCCAACACUUGGUCGCAGUGAAAUGUGGACCGGACGGUAUUUGAACCUUGGUGAACUGAUGGUUAUCAAUUGUAAUAUUUCUUUCUAGUUUACCGGAAUUCUGAAAUUUUGUAUGUGUUUUUUAGAAUUAUUUGUGAAAUUCUUAUCUAUUGUCAGUUAUUAUCUGUAGAAUUUUCUAUGAAGGCUGUGAAAUUUUGUAUGUACAAGUCUAUUGUUAUCUGUGUAUGAUGAAAGGCUAAGUCUGUGUGUUAUCUAUAGGACUUUCUUCCCUCCCCCUUGUUGCCAUUUGGCCACCCAGGGCAGUGGGAACUUCUCCCACGUGGUGGGAGGGAUCUUGUGAGCACAGGAGAAUCUCCCCUAGGGGGUUUAUUUCCCUGGUUUUUUCCUGCCCAACAACCAAAUGAGUGAC
rnacentral:lncRNA from 1 species